rnacentral:rRNA from 1 species
GGCUUAGAGUUUGAUCAUGGCUCAGGACGAACGCUGGCGGCGCGCCUAACACAUGCAAGUCGAACGGAGUUGAGAGGAGCUUGCUUUUCUUGACUUAGUGGCGAACGGGUGAGUAACGCGUGAGGAACCUGCCUCAAAGAGGGGGACAACAGUUGGAAACGACUGCUAAUACCGCAUAAGCCCACGGUCUCGCAUGAGACAGAGGGAAAAGGAGCAAUCCGCUUUGAGAUGGCCUCGCGUCCGAUUAGCUGGUUGGUGAGGUAACGGCCCACCAAGGCGACGAUCGGUAGCCGGACUGAGAGGUUGAACGGCCACAUUGGGACUGAGACACGGCCCAGACUCCUACGGGAGGCAGCAGUGGGGAAUAUUGCACAAUGGGGGAAACCCUGAUGCAGCGACGCCGCGUGGAGGAAGAAGGUCUUCGGAUUGUAAACUCCUGUUGUUGGGGAAAAGAAGGAUGGUACCCAACAAGGAAGUGACGGCUAACUACGUGCCAGCAGCCGCGGUAAAACGUAGGUCACGAGCGUUGUCCGGAAUUACUGGGUGUAAAGGGAGCGCAGGCGGGUAUGCAAGUUGGGAGUGAAAUACAUGGGCUCAACCCAUGAACUGCUCUCAAAACUGUGUAUCUUGAGUAGUGCAGAGGUAGGCG